CCGAGUUUACAACUCCCAAACCCCUGUGACAUACCACUUGUUGCCUCGGCGGAUCAGCCCGCUCCCGGUAAAACGGGACGGCCCGCCAGAGGACCCCUAAACUCUGUUUCUAUAUGUAACUUCUGAGUAAAACCAUAAAUAAAUCA
rnacentral:misc_RNA from 1 species